rnacentral:rRNA from 1 species
CCUACGGGUGGCAGCAGUGGGGAAUAUUGCACAAUGAGGGAAACCCUGAUGCAGCAACGCCGCGUGAGUGAAGAAGUAUUUCGGUAUGUAAAGCUCUAUCAGCAGGGAAGAGAAUGACGGUACCUGAUUAAGAAGCCCCGGCUAACUACGUGCCAGCAGCCGCGGUAAUACGUAGGGGGCAAGCGUUAUCCGGAUUUACUGGGUGUAAAGGGAGCGUAGACGGCUGGCCAAGUCUGAAGUGAAAGCCCGGGGCUUAACCCCGGAACGGCUUUGGAAACUGGCCGGCUGGAGUGCUGGAGAGGCAGGCGGAAUUCCUGGUGUAGCGGUGAAAUGCGUAGAUAUCAGGAGGAACACCGGUGGCGAAGGCGGGUUCCUGGACAUUAACUGACGCUGAGGCACGAAGGCCAGGGGAGCGAAAGGGAUUAGAUACCCUGGUAGUC